CCUAGGAGACAUUGGCAAAGACAGUGGGUCAACUGCAGAACUGGAGUGAGGGGAGACAACAGGUCGGCUUACCAUCUGAGUCCUUCUGAUUGGGAUUGGGUACCAGGCGGCAGUUAUCGGGACCAGGAGGCACAUAAUCUGGGAUGCCAUCAUUGUCAUCAUCCCCAUCACACUCAUCUCCAAGUCCAUCGUUAUCAGAGUCCAGCUGGGAGCUAUUUGGCAGCUGUGGGCAGUUGUCCUUGGUGUCCUGAUGCCCAUCCCCAUCGCUAAUCAGAAGAACAGGUUGGUGAAAGUCCCGAACUUUGUCUCCCCACCCAGAGGACAACUGGCCAGGAAAUCUGCCUGUUUCUUGUCUCACCCUCUAGUCCACACUCUGCCUAACACUACGCCCUACCUCACAUUCCUAUUGACAUCUGCUGCAGGUAAUCUCUCCUCACCCAGGCCAACGUCCACAAGCCUGCCUCCCUAUUUCACAGAGACUUCCUAGCUUCCCUGCUUCAUCCCCACCUGAUCCAAAUUCUCACAGGUCCCCCAGCCACCCCUUCAGCCCCAGGCCUGCACCAUCCCCAUCCACGUCGUUGUCACAGGCAUCUCCUUCCCCAUUGCCAUCUGUGUCCUUCUGGUCAUUGUUGGGAACGUUGGGGCAAUUGUCACAGGCAUCACCAAAUGAAUCUGUAUCUGA
rnacentral:lncRNA from 1 species